rnacentral:rRNA from 1 species
UACGGAGGGGACUAGCGUUGUUCGGAAUUACUGGGCGUAAAGCGCACGUAGGCGGAUUUGUUAGUCAGGGGUGAAAUCCCGAGGCUCAACCUCGGAACUGCCUUUGAUACUGGUAGUCUCGAGUCCGGAAGAGGUGAGUGGAAUUCCGAGUGUAGAGGUGAAAUUCGUAGAUAUUCGGAGGAACACCAGUGGCGAAGGCGGCUCACUGGUCCGGUACUGACGCUGAGGUGCGAAAGCGUGGGGAGCAAACAGG